rnacentral:rRNA from 1 species
UACGAAGGGUGCUAGCGUUGUUCGGAAUUACUGGGCGUAAAGCGCGCGUAGGCGGCUUGUCAAGUCAGGGGUGAAAUCCCACAGCUCAACUGUGGAACUGCCUUUGAAACUGUCAGGCUAGAGUGUCGGAGGGGAUAGCGGAAUUGCUAAUGUAGAGGUGAAAUUCGUAGAUAUUAGCAGGAACACCGGUGGCGAAGGCGGCUAUCUGGACGACAACUGACGCUGAGGCGCGAAAGCGUGGGGAGCAAACAGG